rnacentral:lncRNA from 1 species
AGAAAGGAAAGCGCGAGGACCGUCGCCGCCUCCGCCACCGCGCCGGAGCCGAGGAGCCCCGGCCGUAGCCCCAGCGCGCCUUCAGCCGCCGGCUCCCGCGUCCUCGGGUGUAUGGCAGUUUAUAUAACUGAAGUUUCUGUCAAGUUUUGCCCAAGACUUGUUCCAGCAGCCUGUUAAAACAUGGUGGAUUACUAUGAAGUUCUAGGCGUGCAGAGACACGCCUCGGCCGAGGAUAUUAAAAAGGCAUACAGGAAACUGGCACUGAAGUGGCAUCCAGAUAAAAAUCCUGAGAACAAAGAAGAAGCAGAGAGAAAAUUCAAGCAAGUAGCUGAGGCGUAUGAAGUGUUGUCAGACGCUAAAAAACGGGACAUCUAUGACAGAUACGGCAAAGAAGGAUUAAACGGUGGCGGUGGAGGUGGAAGUCACUUCGACAGUCCAUUUGAGUUUGGCUUCACAUUCCGAAACCCAGAUGAAGUCUUCAGGGAAUUUUUUGGUGGAAGGGACCCAUUUUCAUUCGACUUCUUCGGUGUUCUAGGCGACUUCCAUUUUCAGGCUCUCAGGAUUUACACACGGGAACAGAAGCUGCUCCACGGCUACUACAUGUAUGAAGUGACAGUGCAGCGCGCUGGCGGUACGUUCAGAGCAGGGCCGAGCGGCCGUGGGGCCGAGGUGUGCCGCCUCAGCAGGCGUGGAGGUGAUGUUUCCCGGCAGCCACACCAACCCUGUCACGCUGUCCAUUUAGAGGAGUGUGUUAUUUCUUGUCUUAAUUUUCCACACGACCAACUCUUUUCCUCUCUCGUUUUCCAAAAAAAAGUAGCUCAGAGUCUGUUAAAAGACAUUCUGAGGUUCACUUUGCAUUUAUCGGAACAUAAUACCCCGUGUCUGGUUUCAGAUGGCCCAGGUGAAAGGGGAGGGACCUUGAAGCGGAGAGCUGGUGGGAAGGACGGAGUCCUGUACCCGGGGCCACACUCGUUGUGAGGCCCGCCCCC